UCUGGACCUUGUAGUUUACAAACAAACAUUCGUUCUUCUGAGUCUGAUGAAGCCAAACUUUCUGUCCUGAGAGAGG